UAGCGGUUAAACAAACUAUGAAUUAUCAAAACAGAAAAAAUGUGUUCAACAAUGGAGAAAAUAAGGCAAUUAAGCCACUGUUUUUUCCCUAAUGUAAAAUGUUACAGCUUUCUGGAUCAGUGUGUCAUUCUUUGAACAAGCUCACCUUUUGAAUGAGUAUGGCAUUGUACACAUAUAGCGGCAGAUGGUUAGAUGACAAAAAAUUGACAUGACAAUUACAUAUCUUACUCACUAAGACUAGGUGACUAAAAUUUGAAGAAAUAGAGAAGAAAAUGGCAAUCUACCGGGAUUUUGAAGCAUCCCCAAGGAGAAAAAAAGAUCGAUAGUGGAUAAAUCAAUUCUGCAAGAUAAUGAUGAGCUUGCUAAUAACAUCAUAGACUUAGCAGUAAAAUGUUUGACUGAGGAUCCAAAUAAACGCCCAGAUAUGAAGGAAGUCUAUGCCAACUUGUCCAAUUUGGUUGGAACAACAACGUCAAAUAAAUCAAUUAUGCAAGAAAGUAAGGAAGGCUUUACCAUCUUGUCCAAAUAUAGUAAGUUGAACAUGUAAAGCUCGAUGUAUAAACAGAAUAUCAACAUUUUGUAUUUUGUAUUUUGUAUUUUGUAUAAACAGAAUAUCAGCAUGAGUAGGCUAUAAAUGUCUGCAAUUUCAUCUUCCAAAUUAUUCUACUACUAUUGGCACUAGUUACCUAGUGUUACCUAGAAGGAUUACGAUGUAACAUAGCUAAGGCAAUAGCUUCAAAAUUCAGUAUAACGAGGAAAUAGAUUUGGAGAAAGACAUACCUGACAUAAUCCCAAUGUGCUUUCUCCCAGAAACAUGGCAACAUAUGCAAAAAGGAGGCUGGUUUUCAGUAUAUCCGUGAUAGUGGAAAAGAAGGGAGGUUUCCACAGUUCA
rnacentral:lncRNA from 1 species